GUGCAGCAGUCGAGAAUUUUUCACAAUGGGGGAAACCCUGAUGGAGCGACGCCGCGUGGAGGAUGAAGGCCUUUUGGUCGCAAACUCCUGUCAAACGGGAACAAGAAAGUGAUAGUACCGUUAGAGGAAGAGGCGGCUAACCCUGUGCCAGCAGCCGCGGUAAUACAGAGGCCUCAAGCGUUGUUCGGAUUCAUUGGGCGUAAAGGGUGCGUAGGUGGCUUGUUAAGUUGAAGGUGAAAUCUCGGGGCUCAACUCCGAAACUGCCUUCAAUACUGGCGAGCUCGGGGAUUGUAGAGGAGAAUGGAAUUCACGGUGUAGCAGUGAAAUGCGUAGAUAUCGUGAGGAAGACCAGCGGCGAAGGCGAUUCUCUGGGCAAUUCCUGACACUGAGGCACGAAGGCCAGGGGAGCAAACGGGAUUAGAUACCCCUGUAGU
rnacentral:rRNA from 1 species